GGGGAGGAAGAGGUCUGGAUACGUCUCUAUCAAUGUGAAAUAUGCUCCAACAGAUUGUUCAGUGACUGUGAGUCCUGCUGGUGAAAUCAGAGAGAACAGUAGAGUGACUGUGACCUGUAGCUGUGAUGCUAACCCAGCAUCUGAAUACACUUGGUACAAGAAGAAUAACAAUCAACCUCUCAGUAGAGAAGCUCAGCUCGUCUUCAGCUCCAUCAAGUCCUCUGACUCUGGAGAGUUUUCAUGUAAAGCUGAGAACGAUCUGGGAAAGCCGACCUAUAAAUGGAUCUCUAUUGAUGUGAAAUAUGCUCCAAAGCUUCCCUCUGUGUCAGUGAGUCCCUCUGC